rnacentral:rRNA from 1 species
CGCGUUCAAGGUUGUAGGCUGGGGUUUUAGGUAAAUCCGGAACCCUAAGGCUGAGAGCUGAUAACGACUGACCUUUUUAGGUCGGGAAGUAGUCGAUGCCAUGCUUCCAAGAAAAUCUUCUAAGCUUCAGGUAAUGAGCGACCGUACCCCAAACCGACACAGGUGGACUGGUAGAGCAUACCAAGGCGCUUGAGAGAACUAUGUUGAAGGAACUCGGCAAAUUGCUCCCGUAAGUUCGCGAGAAGGGAGCCUCUGCAUUGGGCAACCAGUGUGGAGGGGCACAGACCAGGGGGUGGCGACUGUUUACUAAAAACACAGGGCUCUGCGAAGCCGCAAGGCGACGUAUAGGGUCUGACGCCUGCCCGGUGCUGGAAGGUUAAAGGGAGAGGUGCAAGCUUUGAACUGAAGCCCCAGUAAACGGCGGCCGUAACUAUAACGGUCCUAAGGUAGCGAAAUUCCUUGUCGGGUAAGUUCCGACCUGCACGAAUGGCGUAACGACUUCCCCGCUGUCUCCAACAUCAACUCAGCGAAAUUGAAUUCCCCGUGAAGAUGCGGGGUACCCGCGGUCAGACGGAAAGACCCCGUGCACCUUUACUACAGCUUUGCAGUGGCAUCAGGAAGCCGAUGUGCAGGAUAGGUGGGAGGCUUGGAACUUAUGGCGCCAGCUAUAAGGGAGCCAUCCUUGAGAUACCACCCUUCUGCUUUCUGUUGUCUAACCGAGAUCAGUUAUCCUGAUCCGGGACCCUGCAUGGUGGGUAGUUUGACUGGGGCGGUCGCCUCCCAAAUGGUAACGGAGGCGCGCGAUGGUAGGCUCAAACCGGUCGGACAUCGGUUGUUGAGUGCAAUGGCAUAAGCCUGCCUGACUGUGAGACUGACAAGUCGAGCAGAGACGAAAGUCGGUCAUAGUGAUCCGGUGGUUCUGAGUGGAAGGGCCAUCGCUCAACGGAUAAAAGGUACGCCGGGGAUAACAGGCUGAUACCCCCCAAGAGUUCACAUCGACGGGGGUGUUUGGCACCUCGAUGUCGGCUCAUCACAU